rnacentral:rRNA from 12 species
UGAAACACGGACCAAGAAGUCUAGCAUAUCCGCGAGUCAUUGGGUGGUAAACCUAAAGGCGUAAUGAAAGUAAAGGUGGCUCGAUCCACUGAUAUGGGAUCCGUACGUGAGAGCGUGCGGCGCACCAUAGCCCCGUCCCGUAGGCUUGCCUUGGGGCGGAGGUAGAGCGAAUAUGCUGGGACCCGAAAGAUGGUGAACUAUGCCUGAGCAGGAUAAAGCCAGAGGAAACUCUGGUGGAAGUCCGAAGCGGUUCUGACGUGCAAAUCGAUCGUCUGACUUGGGUAUAGGGGCGAAAGACUAAUCGAACCAUCUAGUAGCUGGUUCCUUCCGAAGUUUCCCCCAGGAUAGCUGGAGCUCGUGUGCAGUUAUAUUCGGUAAAGCGAAUGAUUAGAGGACUUGGGGACGAAACGACCUCAACCUAUUCUCAAACUUUCAAUGGGUAUGAAGUUGCGGUUGCUUGAUUGAACCGCGAUAGCGAAUGUGAGCUCCAAGUGGGCCAUUUUUGGUAAGCA